CAGACACCAGCAGCUUUAACCCUGUUCCACCACCCCGCCCGAUAAUACCCGAAUACAUCACUAAGUACACCACAGUGGUAUCGGUGGAACAGAGGGACAGGUAUGUUGAAGACAUCAUGGCCGCUAGUGACAAAUCCAGCUUCCUUUAUGGUCAUAUCAGAAGGAACCUGCAGCACUUUUUUCUCAGAGAACAACAGCUCAGGUUCAUGUUUCUGGGAUCCGAGUCGUAUCAGGAAAUGUGUGAUCUGAUGCGGCGGGAGUUGCUGAACGCGGUGCAG